GACGAACGCUGGCGGCGCGCCUAACACAUGCAAGUCGCACGGUGAGACGGGCUUCGGCCCGAGGAUCAGUGGCGAACGGGUGCGUAACACGUGGGCAACCUGCCCCUCACACUGGGAUAACCCCGGGAAACCGGAGCUAAUACCGGAUACUCCGACCGAACCACAUGGCUCGAUCGGGAAAGGUCCGCGGGUGAGGGAUGGGCCCGCGGCCUAUCAGCUUGUUGGUGAGGUAACGGCUCACCAAGGCGACGACGGGUAGCUGGUCUGAGAGGACGACCAGCCACACUGGGACUGAGAUACGGCCCAGACUCCUACGGGAGGCAGCAGUGGGGAAUCUUGCGCAAUGGGCGAAAGCCUGACGCAGCGACGCCGCGUGGGGGAUGAAGGCCCUCGGGUUGUAAACCCCUUUCGGCAGGGACGAAGCGAUCGUGACGGUACCUGCAGAAGAAGCCUCGGCUAACUACGUGCCAGCAGCCGCCGCAG
rnacentral:rRNA from 1 species